GUUGGGUAGGGGAGCGUUCUGUAAGCCGUUGAAGGUGACCUGUGAGGGUUGCUGGAGGUAUCAGAAGUGCGAAUGCUGACAUAAGUAACGAUAAUGCGGGUGAAAAACCCGCACGCCGGAAGACCAAGGGUUCCUGUCCAACGUUAAUCGGGGCAGGGUGAGUCGACCCCUAAGGCGAGGCUGAAAAGCGUAGUCGAUGGGAAACAGGUUAAUAUUCCUGUACUUGGUGUUACUGCGAAGGGGGGACGGAGAAGGCUAGGCUAGCCGGGCGACGGUUGUCCCGGUUUAAGCAUGUAGGCGGAGCGACUUGGUAAAUCCGGUUGCUUAUCAACGCUGAGGUGUGAUGACGAGCCACUACGGUGGUGAAGUAGUUGAUGCCAAGCUUCCAGGAAAAGCCUCUAAGCAUCAGGUAACAUUAAAUCGUACCCCAAACCGACACAGGUGGUCAGGUAGAGAAUACUCAGGCGCUUGAGAGAACUCGGGUGAAGGAACUAGGCAAAAUGGUGCCGUAACUUCGGGAGAAGGCACGCUGGCAUUAGGUAAAGGGACUUGCUCCCGGCGCCGAAGCCAGUCGCAGAUACCAGCUGGCUGCAACUGUUUAAUAAAAACACAGCACUGUGCAAACACGAAAGUGGACGUAUACGGUGUGACGCCUGCCCGGUGCUGGAAGGUUAAUUGAUGGGGUCAGCCUCACGGCGAAGCUCUUGAUCGAAGCCCCAGUAAACGGCGGCCGUAACUAUAACGGUCCUAAGGUAGCGAAAUUCCUUGUCGGGUAAGUUCCGACCUGCACGAAUGGCGUAAUGAUGGCCAGGCUGUCUCCACCCGAGACUCAGUGAAAUUGAACUCGCUGUGAAGAUGCAGUGUACCCGCGGCAAGACGGAAAGACCCCGUGAACCUUUACUAUAGCUUGACACUGAACAUUGAGCCUUGAUGUGUAGGAUAGGUGGGAGGCAUUGAAGUGUGGACGCCAGUCUGCAUGGAGCCAACCUUGAAAUACCACCCUUUAAUGUUUGAUGUUCUAACUCGGCCCCAUAAUCUGGGGUGAGGACAGUGUCUGGUGGGUAGUUUGACUGGGGCGGUCUCCUCCCAAAGAGUAACGGAGGAGCACGAAGGUUAGCUAAUCACGGUCGGACAUCGUGAGGUUAGUGCAAAGGCAUAAGCUAGCUUGACUGCGAGAGUGACGGCUCGAGCAGGUACGAAAGUAGGUCUUAGUGAUCCGGUGGUUCUGAAUGGAAGGGCCAUCGCUCAACGGAUAAAAGGUACUCCGGGGAUAACAGGCUGAUACCGCCCAAGAGUUCAUAUCGACGGCGGUGUUUGGCACCUCGAUGUCGGCUCAUCACAUCCUGGGGCUGAAGUAGGUCCCAAGGGUAUGGCUGUUCGCCAUUUAAAGUGGUACGCGAGCUGGGUUUAGAACGUCGUGAGACAGUUCGGUCCCUAUCUGCCGUGGGCGUUGGAAGAUUGAGAGGGGCUGCUCCUAGUACGAGAGGACCGGAGUGGACGAAUCACUGGUGUUCGGGUUGUCAUGCCAAUGGCAUUGCCCGGUAGCUAAAUUCGGAAGAGAUAACCGCUGAAAGCAUCUAAGCGGGAAACUUGCCUCGAGAUGAGUCUUCCCUGGGGCUUUAAGCCCCCUGAAGGAACGUUAAAGACUAUGACGUUGAUAGGCUGGGUGUGUAAGUGCAGCGAUGCAUUGAGCUAACCAGUACUAAUGAUCCGUGAGGCUUAACC
rnacentral:rRNA from 1 species